UUGUAUUUCCUCUUAUGGACGGCCCCCUCGCUAGCUCCUUGAUGUUUGUCCUACCCCAGUAAGAUCUGUGACAUGUUCAUGGCGUUGAUGUGGAGAAGCUCAACGUCAAUGGAAUAUCCCUCUCCAUUUUGACAUCAGACAAGGUGGUAUUAAUCUUUUAUGUGUAAGUAUCUACUGCACAUACUGUCUUUCCUAGGUGUUCUUCUUUUCCAUCUGUACUACCUCACCUACUGUCAAAUGUUUGUGCUAGGUUGCUGACUUUUCUGGUGUGGAGUUUGCUUAUUUUGGGUUCUUCGUUGUGUUGGUAGGAUUUUUGCCGUGAGUUGUUCCUUUGGCACUAUCUGUAGGAAGCAGAGCCAAGCGAGGUUCUUAUAUCUGAGCAUAUUAAUCUCAUGCAUUAGUUUGUAAGCUAUGGGGUUGCAGGCUUAAACUCAAAAUUGUCUUGCAAUGUAUUAGACUGUACCCUGGAACCUAGGCACAACCAUCUAUAUACAUUGUUCUAUCUUGCAGAUUGGGAUCCCUGUCAGUUGCUUCCCCUUUUUUGUUUCCAAUUAUGUCAUCUUUGCAAAUUUAUGUUGUGCAUGUACACACGUUUUUUGGAUAACUGCAUGAGAGAAAGCUUACAAGUAGAUGAGUUACAGAUCUUCCAUGAAUCCUAUUGUCCUUGCAGACCUACAACAACAAACUUUCGAUUACGUAUAUGCUUACUGUUUGUUCAGUUGGCAUACUUCAGAUUGCAUUGGUUAGGUUAUAGUCCAUGUGUGUAGGUCUGGAUAGCAUAAGCUUCUGUUGAGAGCACUUUGAUCAGGUGGCACUGCACAUCUCAAAUCACCACAAGUUUGUUCUUCACCUAUACAGUACAGUCACAGUCACCCGCCAAGAACUUGAAAUUGGAACCAGAGAGUAGUAAUUUCUUAGGGAGAUAGCUCAAUGUUGUAUAAAAGGAGAUUUAUGAGAUUUAAGUCCUGAAAAAUUUAAUGGUAUUUUGUCUUUCAGGUUCCUCUAUAUCUGCUGCAAGGCUUGGAUUGCCAUAUAAGGCCGAAUUCAGCACAUAAGAAAGCAGAACAAUUCAUUGAUAGUGUCACGGUUUGAUCCAGCUCGAUGGCGAGCUCCUCUGCCCUCCCUGAGCCCGGUGAUGAUUUGUACGGUUAGUCUUCCCUGCACGGUGGUGGGCGAAGGAGGUGUACGUCUCUGCAAGUUUGUUGUGCCUCCCUCAGGUUCCGUGAUGGCCGACGGCGAGGUGCCCACCGGUGAGCUUUUUUUCCUUGGUUGCCUUUCUAUUAUUGUGAUUCGGUUUGUGAUGCUCUGCUGCUCAUCUAGGUUGAUGGUGGAGCUGUGAUCCAAAGUUGGAGCGUGCCCUUUCGUUGGUGCCGUCAUUCUCUCCUCCACGACCAUCGUUGUCACGAGCCUAAGUAGCUUGGUUGGGUAUCGACGGCGUUGGUGGACCUAAUAGGUCCGUAUCUUUCUCUAAAAAGAAAAGCACAACGAGUUAUCUAUAUUUUGUCUGUAUGUGGUUCUAUACCUUUUUUUGCUAAUUUCUAAGUGAUUUUUAACCCAUUGUGAUACUGAAAACCUGAUAAAGAAUAUAUUUUAUGACUGGAUGUUUGAUGUGGGGCUGGAAGAAUUAUAGUUUUGUUUUGUACAUAAAUCUUCUAUGUAGUCAUGGUACUAAAUGUCCUAACAUAUACCCGUAUGUUCUGUUUAUCUCCUACAAAUAGUGAAAUGGUCUAUAUGUAAAGUAUUUAUGUUUAGUUAUAUUAUGUUGUCGACGAUGCGUGGUUCUGGAACAUGGAGAUUAACAUUGAAGCUUUUGGUAUCUUGAAUUCUUAUGCUUUGUUAUUAACUUGAUGUGAUCUAGUUUUUUCUAUUUGGCAUUGCCACUGACCUGCUUCCAGUGUCGUAUAACUAAACUCUUUUGGCUGAACUGGACGCAGAUUAAUUGUCCUGCCUUGCUUUUGGAACAAAUUAAAUGUAUCUUCUUUUUCAUGAGCCUGCAGAUCAAUUAUUCCAUAGAUACUAAUACACUCAUUAGUUUCAAACAAGUACUGUAAUUUCCAAUGUACCAAAUGAUUUACAGUAUAGUGAAAUCUUACACGCUGGACCAAUUUAAUGUUUCUUCUUUCUCUUAAACCAAAAAAAAUUGUUGUCUUGUUGAAUACGUAUGCUAAACCAUGUUUCCUACUAACGCAUCAUAUCUUUUGAUCAUUACCUUCUUGACCACAUCGUUGGGACAUGCACAGGUUCAUGUGAAGUGGUGCCUAUGAAGAUCAUCGACAAGGCAGUUGAGUGGAGUCACUUAUUAGUAUGAAGUGGCGCUUAUGAAGUUGAUCGACAAGGCAGUUGAGUGAAGCCACUUAUUAGUAUGCUUAGUAGUUCUGGCUUUGUAGUUGUCUCUCCUUUGUUACGCUUGUGGUAUCAAACUUCCAUGUCGAGUGGCUGCGUUUUUGGUGUCGAACUUCGUGUCAGGUGGCUAUCUUUUGUGUUCUUAUGAACGCACUGAAACCAAUUCUACCUUAUAAUCUCAAGCCGACACUGAGCCCAUGCCUUUCUUCUAUAAUAGUUGAAUGUUUCUUCUUCACUUUAUUGUUAUUAUGUAUGAA
rnacentral:lncRNA from 1 species